CUGAUGAUACUGGAGCUUGAAAUCCUCUGUUUGGUCACAGAAUGGGUAUGGUACAGAAAGUAUCAGUGCAGCUUUCUCCACACUGCCUCACCAAUGUGCCUCCACCCUGCUCUGAAAAGACCACGUCUGCUAGUCUGAUGUACUUCAGACUCCCUGGUUUUUAAAGCCCUGGCCACU
rnacentral:sRNA from 1 species